rnacentral:rRNA from 1 species
ACGCUGGCGGCGUGCCUAAUACAUGCAAGUAGAACGCUGAAGGAGGAGCUUGCUUCUCCGGAUGAGUUGCGAACGGGUGAGUAACGCGUAGGUAACCUGCCUGGUAGCGGGGGAUAACUAUUGGAAACGAUAGCUAAUACCGCAUAAGAGUAGAUGUUGCAUGACAUUUGCUUAAAAGGUGCAAUUGCAUCACUACCAGAUGGACCUGCGUUGUAUUAGCUAGUUGGUGGGGUAACGGCUCACCAAGGCGACGAUACAUAGCCGACCUGAGAGGGUGAUCGGCCACACUGGGACUGAGACGCGGCCCAGACUCCUACGGGAGGCAGCAGUAGGGAAUCUUCGGCAAUGGACGGAAGUCUGACCGAGCAACGCCGCGUGAGUGAAGAAGGUUUUCGGAUCGUAAAGCUCUGUUGUAAGAGAAGAACGAGUGUGAGAGUGGAAAGUUCACACUGUGACGGUAUCUUACCAGAAAGGGACGGCUAACUACGUGCCAGCAGCCGCGGUAAUACGUAGGUCCCGAGCGUUGUCCGGAUUUAUUGGGCGUAAAGCGAGCGCAGGCGGUUAGAUAAGUCUGAAGUUAAAGGCUGUGGCUUAACCAUAGUACGCUUUGGAAACUGUUUAACUUGAGUGCAAGAGGGGAGAGUGGAAUUCCAUGUGUAGCGGUGAAAUGCGUAGAUAUAUGGAGGAACACCGGUGGCGAAAGCGGCUCUCUGGCUUGUAACUGACGCUGAGGCUCGAAAGCGUGGGGAGCAAACAGGAUUAGAUACCCUGGUAGUCCACGCCGUAAACGAUGAGUGCUAGGUGUUAGACCCUUUCCGGGGUUUAGUGCCGCAGCUAACGCAUUAAGCACUCCGCCUGGGGAGUACGACCGCAAGGUUGAAACUCAAAGGAAUUGACGGGGGCCCGCACA